CUCAACCGUGGAAUUGCAGGGCAUACUGCGUUCCUUGAGGCCGGUAGGGGCUGCCGGAACUCUAGGUGUAGCGGUGAAAUGCGUAGAUAUCUAGAGGAACACCGAAGGCGAAGGCAGGCAGCUGGGCCGGUUCUGACGCUGAGGCACGAAAGCGUGGGGAGCGAACAGGAUUAGAUACCCUGGUAGUCCACGCUGUAAACGUUGUGCACUAGGUUCGGGAGGUUCUGACGCCCUCCGGGCCGAAGGAAAACCAUUAAGUGCACCGCCUGGGGAGUACGGUCGCAAGGCUAAAACUCAAAGGAAUUGACGGGGGCUCACACAAGCGGUGGAGCAUGUGGCUUAAUUCGAGGCAACGCGAAGAACCUUAUCCUGGGUUUGACAUGCACGGAUUAACCCCUGGAAACAGGGGCCACGCCUCCUUGUGAGGUGGAACG
rnacentral:rRNA from 1 species